GAUGAACGCUGACAGAAUGCUUAACACAUGCAAGUCUUUGGCGAAGCUGUGCUUGCACAGCCUAGCCAAGGCGGACGGGUGAGUAACGCGUAAGGAACUUGCCCUGCAGUCAGGGAUAACAGACGGAAACGACUGAUAAGACCUGGUAAAGUCAGGCGGACUCAUGUCCAGCCUGAUGAAAAGUGAUGCUGCAGGAGAGCCUUGCGUCCUAUUAGCUUGUUGGUGGGGUAACGGCCCACCAAGGCAAUGAUAGGUAGCCGGCCUGAGAGGGUGGACGGCCACAAGGGGACUGAGAUACGGCCCUUACUCCUACGGGAGGCAGCAGUGGGGAAUAUUGGACAAUGGGGGCAACCCUGAUCCAGCAAUUCUGUGUGCACGAUGAAGGUUUUCGGAUUGUAAAGUGCUUUCAGCAGGGAAGAAAAAAAUGACGGUACCUGCAGAAGAAGCGACGGCUAAAUACGUGCCAGCAGCCGCGGUAAUACGUAUGUCGCAAGCGUUAUCCGGAAUUAUUGGGCGUAAAGGGCUUGUAGGCGGUUGGUCGCGUCUGCCGUGAAAUCCUCUGGCUUAACUGGGGGCGUGCGGNGGGUACGGGCUGACUUGAGUGCGGUAGGGGAGACUGGAACUCCUGGUGUAGCGGUGGAAUGCGCAGAUAUCAGGAAGAANACCGGUGGCGAANGCGGGUCUCUGGGNCGUACUGACGCUGAGGAGCGAAAGCGUGGGGAGCGAACAGG
rnacentral:rRNA from 1 species